rnacentral:piRNA from 1 species
UGUUGUUUGGUGUAUACAGGAAGGG